rnacentral:rRNA from 2 species
ACGGGAGGCAGCAGUGGGGAAUAUUGCGCAAUGGGGGAAACCCUGACGCAGCAACGCCGCGUGAAGGAAGAAGGUCUUCGGAUUGUAAACUUUUGUCUUCAGGGACGAUAAUGACGGUACCUGAGGAGGAAGCUCCGGCUAACUACGUGCCAGCAGCCGCGGUAAUACGUAGGGAGCGAGCGUUGUCCGGAAUUACUGGGUGUAAAGGGUGCGUAGGCGGCUUUAUAAGUCAGAAGUGAAAUGUACGGGCUUAACCCGUGAACUGCUUUUGAAACUAUUUAGCUUGAGUGAUGGAGAGGUAAGCGGAACUCCUAGUGUAGCGGUGAAAUGCGUAGAUAUUAGGAAGAACACCAGUGGCGAAGGCGGCUUACUGGACAUUUACUGACGCUGAGGCACGAAAGCGUGGGGAGCAAACAGGAUUAGAUACCCUGGUA